AUACGGAGGAUCCGAGCGUUAUCCGGAUUUAUUGGGUUUAAAGGGUGCGCAGGCGGCCAUUUAAGUCAGCGGUUAAAUCGUGGGGCUCAACCCCAUUCUGCCGUUGAUACUGGGUGGCUUGAUUGCGGUCGAGGUUGGCGGAAUUCGUUGUGUAGCGGUGAAAUGCAUAGAUAUGACGAAGAACGCCGAUUGCGUAGGCAGCUGACCAGAUCGCAAAUGACGCUCAUGCACGAAAGUGCGGGGAUCGAACAGGAUUAGAUACCCUGGUAGUCCGCACAGUAAACGAUGAAUACUUGUUUUCGGCGAUAUAAUGUCGGAGGCAAAGCGAAAGCGAUAAGUAUUCCACCUGGGGAGUACGCCGGCAACGGUGAAACUCAAAUGAAUUGACGGGG
rnacentral:rRNA from 1 species